GAGGUGUUCGCUGAAUAGUGUUGAGUGGUUUGUCCUGUCUAUAAUUGGAGCUAAAUCUCGGAUGUACUGGGAGUUCAUUGAGAUCUGGGCUUUGGUUUGAAUUGGUUGUGGUUGUAGGCGUGGUCUUACUUCGAAGGCCCCAUUUCCUAACAUGCAGCCAAGCAUUACCAAUGUAAAAGUUCCUCCCAAAAUGAUUGAUACCAAAGGAGGCUUCAUUUUAGAAGAAGAGGAAGAAGAGGAACAGAAGAUUGUAAAUGUUGUUCAUGAACCAGGGCCCGUCAUGGAGUUCGAUUAUGCCAUCUGUGAGGAAUGUGGGAAAGAGUUCAUGGACUCGUACCUUAUGAGCCACUUCGAUUUCCCAACAUGCGAUAGCUGCAGAGAUGCUGAUGAUAAACACAAGCUUAUAACCAAAACAGAAGCCAAGCAGGAAUACCUUCUGAAAGACUGCGAUUUAGAGAAGAGAGAACCCGCGCUUAGGUUCAUCGUGAAGAAGAACCCUCGUCACUCACAGUGGGGUGAUAUGAAGCUCUACCUAAAGUUACAGGUUGUCAAGCGGGCUCUUGAAGUUUGGGGUAGCCAGGAAGCACUGGAAGAUGCAAAGGAAGUGAGGCAGGAAAACCGAGAGAAAAUGAAGCAGAAGAAGUUUGAUAAGAAAGUCAAAGCGCUUGGUGGAUGUGUUCCUGUCCUGACUAGGCCACAGAGGGCUGAGUGGAGUAGACGGUAGAGUAGACUCGAGGAGCUGAUUGUGCAGUUUGCUCAGAACAGAGAGGAGUCAAAGCAAGUCUAAAGGCUUUUUAGUUGGAAAGAAAUUGGAACAUGGUUCCUCUUGAUGCACAGUGAAGCUGACGCAAAGCUUUCUUCUUAUGGGAAGAACUGCGACGAGCAGUAAGAAGCAGUGUGUGGAAAAGAGAAACAGCCGCUCACCAACAUGAGUAUGGACCAGAGGAAAGCUUAGAAGAUGACAUGUUCCGCAAGACUUGUACCUUGUGUGGCCACGAGCUGACGUAUGAAAAAAUGUGACUUUUAAAAACAUUUAUAUUUCAAUAAAGGCUCUCUUUAGAUGCA